AUGCGGAAGAAGUUCAGAAACCUUUUGGAUGAGUAUGAGCGGAUCCUCUGUUUUCAUUCUAGAAGCGUUUUUUCAGUAUCCGUUAUUGACGUGAAAUGUAGAAUAAUGUGAAUGUGAGAUAACGUUAGUGUUUUAAUUAUACUUCAAAAGAAGAAGCCGCAGUAUUUCAAGUAGUGAUUCAGGAAAAUAUUCGAAAUCGACUUACAGGGACUACCCGGAGAGCAGAUCGGAUGGAACCAGAAGAGUCUGCAGAUAUUCCCGUAACAGGUUUACAAAUAAUACAGGCAGUGCAAAAGUUUCUACCAAGGAUGUGGCCAGUGAGGUACGAGUAGUCAAUAAUUCAAAAGACUCUCUUCGUUCUCUGAACAGGUUGAGGUCAAGAUCCCGCUCAGUCAGUAUGAAAUCGACAUAUGAAUACUCCAACAACAGUAACAGAAGAAGCCGCAGUAACUCAAGUGGCGAUUCAGGAAAAUAUUCAAAAUCAAGCUGUAGUGACUAUUCGAAAAGUAGGUCGAGGUCUUAUUCAAAGGAUUCAAAUACAUAUGAUUACAAACAUGGUUCACAAAGAGAUUCCAAAAUUUCCCAGAAGAGAUCUAGAUCAACCUGCAUGAACUAUUCAAGAAGUAGGUCGAGGUCUCAUUCAGAAGAUUCAAAUACAUAUGAUCACAAACAUGGUUCACGAAGAGGUUCCAAAAAUUCUCAGAAGAGAUCUAGAUCAACCUGCAUGAACUAUUCAAGAAGUAGGUCGAGGUCUCAUUCAGAGGAUUCGAAUACAUUUGAUUACAAAGGUGGUUCCAAAAAUUCCUCGAGGAGAUCUGGACCAAGAUCUGGUGAUAAUGAGCCACUGUUUCACUCCGGAGUAGGUUCUCGUUCUCGUUCAGACAGCUUUUCUAGAUCCAAGUCAAGCAGAUCAAUGUCAAGAUCCCAGUCGAAGGAUUACUCAGAUUGUACGAAUUCUGGAGGCGAGUCAAGCAGCCAUUCCAAUCUUGAUUACAGAAAGUCAAGGUCUAGGUCCACUUCAAGAUCGAAAUCACCCAAUGGCUGCACCAAACGGUCUCGUUCUGAGUCAUAUUCUCCUGAAUGUGUGAAAAAGUCGAGAUAUAGGUCUAGAUCCUGAACUCCUAAUGGUGGAGCUUGAAAAUUAACAAUGAAAUAUCUCAUUUCGUUUUGAAAAAUGUUUAUUGCUUGUUUAAGAACUUACUCGAUUCUGUAAGUUAUUUUCAUGUUAACUUUCAAUCUGAGAGUUGCUUGCACAAAUUUUCGAAACUAGGAGAACAGUGAUGUAUUUGAUUCAAUAUUUUUUCUAGUUUUUUCCUUAUCCGAUAUUUAUAAUAACUAGUGAAUAUAUACAGUUUUGAUUUC
rnacentral:misc_RNA from 1 species